UACGUAGGGUGCAAGCGUUAAUCGGAAUUACUGGGCGUAAAGCGUGCGCAGGCGGUUAUGUAAGACAGGUGUGAAAUCCCCGGGCUUAACCUGGGAACUGCAUUUGUGACUGCAUAGCUAGAGUACGGUAGAGGGGGAUGGAAUUCCGCGUGUAGCAGUGAAAUGCGUAGAUAUGCGGAGGAACACCGAUGGCGAAGGCAAUCCCCCUGGACCUGUACUGACGCUCAUGCACGAAAGCGUGGGGGACAAAC
rnacentral:rRNA from 1 species